UGCCAGCCGCCGCGGUAAGACGGAGGAUGCAAGUGUUAUCCGGAAUCACUGGGUGUAAAGGGUUCGUAGGCGGUUUAAUAAGUUGGAUAUGAAAGACCGGAGCUCAACUUCGUGUUUGUGUUCAAAACUGUUAAACUAGAAUCAGGGAGAGGUAAGUAGAAUUCUAAGUGUAGGGGUGCAAUCCGUAGAUACUUAGAGGAAUACCAAAAGCGAAGGCAACUUACUGGAACUGUAUUGACGCUGAGGAACGAAAGCAUGGGUAGCGAAGAGGAUUAGAUA
rnacentral:rRNA from 1 species